rfam:Triticum aestivum genome assembly, contig: Triticum_aestivum_CS42_TGACv1_scaffold_221161_3B
GUUGUACUCCCUCCGCCCGGAAAUACUUGUCAUCAAAAUGAAUAAAAGGGAUGUAUCUAGAUGUAUUUUAGUUCUGAAUACAUCAUUUUUUUGUCCAUUUUGAUGACAAGUAUUUUUGGACGGAGGAAGUAGUAG